CAAAUGUUGAUUCUGUGCAAAAAUAUCUGUAGCACUGUGCACUGUAAGCUGGCAGUAGAGGUAAUCUGAUUCUUCACUUGCAGGCAGUGCGUACGAGCACCAGCAAAGUGAAAUCUAUGGACUGUGUUUGUGCGACUCUCCCGCUCACAUUUCCCUUGAUGUACAUGAAUAAGCCCUGAAUAAGGAUGGAUUUUAUGCAAUG